GACAGAGGGUGCAAACGUUGUUCGGAAUUACUGGGCGUAAAGCGCGUGUAGGCGGCUCGGACAGUCGGAUGUGAAAGCCCAGGGCUCAACCCUGGAAGUGCACUCGAAACUCCCGAGCUUGAGUCCCGGAGAGGAAGGCGGAAUUCUCGGUGUAGAGGUGAAAUUCGUAGAUAUCGAGAGGAACACCUGUGGCGAAGGCGGCCUUCUGGACGGUGACUGACGCUGAGACGCGAAAGCGUGGGGAGCAAACAGG
rnacentral:rRNA from 1 species